GAUGAACGCUGGCGGCGUGCUUAACACAUGCAAGUCGAACGAUGAAAGCGGGAGCUUGCUCCUGCUGGAUUAGUGGCGAACGGGUGAGUAACACGUGAGCAAUCUGCCCCGAACUCUGGGAUAAGCGUUGGAAACGACGUCUAAUACCGGAUACGACGCGCGAAGGCAUCUUCUGCGCGUGGAAAGAAUUUCGGUUCGGGAUGAGCUCGCGGCCUAUCAGCUAGUUGGGGAGGUAACGGCUCACCAAGGCGACGACGGGUAGCCGGCCUGAGAGGGUGACCGGCCACACUGGGACUGAGACACGGCCCAGACUCCUACGGGAGGCAGCAGUGGGGAAUAUUGCACAAUGGGCGAAAGCCUGAUGCAGCAACGCCGCGUGAGGGACGACGGCCUUCGGGUUGUAAACCUCUUUUAGUAGGGAAGAAGCGAAAGUGACGGUACCUGCAGAAAAAGCACCGGCUAACUACGUGCCAGCCGCCGCAGUAAGAC
rnacentral:rRNA from 1 species